CUCCGCUCCUCAACGCCCGCCGGGUGCAAUCUGCUCUCUCCGGGAGACGAACGCGAAGCGACGUGGAAACCCUUCCACCAAAAUGAGCUGUGAUAUCCUUUUGAUGGCUAUAAUUUAUUCCAAAUCGUCCCUGGACUGAAACGAUCAAUUAGCAGCCCGAAACGCACUGUGAAGUAAAUUGUCACACUCUCUAUUACAGGAUGGUUAUCAUAUAUUUAUAAGGUGUGUUUUCUGCAAUCAGAACCAACAAGGUGUUGAGCGAUCAGUCAUAAACGCACUUCUUCAAAAAGAGAGGGAGAGAAGCUCAGCAUUGUGUGGCGGGGGAAUAAUCCUCAUGACAGUUCUCUCCCCACCCAGUGAUGUUUUGUCUUGGCACCUGGGAAGUGCAGUGAGGGCUGGAGCUCUGGACGGACUCUCUUCGCCACGCGUGCCCCUGGAAGCAGGGUCCCUGUGAACUACGGAGAGACCCCAGAGGAGAGAUUUCCUUAUUGUGUAAACACAAAUCAGUCAGUUACACCUGCCAUCUAGCAAAACAGACCUCACCCAAGGUCAAUGAUGGCUGCUAACC
rnacentral:lncRNA from 1 species